rnacentral:rRNA from 1 species
AGCCUGAACGCUGGCGGCGUGGUUAAGACAUGCAAGUCGCACGGAGCCGUAGCAAUACGGUUCAGUGGCGCACGGGUGAGUAAUGAAUCGCUAACGUGCCCCGGACUCUGGGAUAGCCAUCCGAAAGGGUGGGUAAUACCAGAUGAGACCACAUGGUCGCAUGACCGUGUGCUCAAGGUCCGCGGUCUGGGAGCGGGCGAUUUCGUAUCAGCUAGUGGUGCGGGUAACGGCCCACCAAGGCGACGACGCGUAGCCGGACUGAGAGGUCGGUCGGCCACAUCGGGACUGAGACACUGCCCGGACUCCUACGGGGGGGCUGCAGUAACGAAUCUCGUCAAUGCACGAAAGUGUGAACGAGCGACGCCGCGUGAGGAUGAAGUCCGUUCGGGAUGUAAACUCCUAGUCGACGGGUUAACCAAAGUUCCUGAGGACGCCCCCAGGAACGGAAGGAGGGCGGACUAAACGU